rnacentral:tRNA from 11 species
GCGGGAAUAGCUCAGUUGGUAGAGCAUAACCUUGCCAAGGUUGGGGUCGCGAGUUCGAGUCUCGUUUC